AUGAAUGACACAGCAACUAUCUACAUAGGAAAGUCAUGAGGUACCGACUUCUUCAGAGGCAACAAAUGGUCAUUAAUGUUCUUCACGCCAGGAAGGCAACAGUACUUAAGACAGAAAUCCAGAAAAGAUGUCCUGUUUGUAUUCAUAUUCAGAACUCAUUUUGGUGGUGGUUAAGACAACUGGUUUUGGCACAAUUUACAAAUCUUUGCAUUAUGCAAAGAAAAAUGAACCCCAACAUAGACUUUCAAGAAUCACCACAUGUGAGAAGAAAAAGAUCCCAGGGAAACAGCAAGUGGAAUGAAAGAACAGAACAAAGAAAGUCAGGAAGACUGCAAAGGCCACUGUUGGUUCUGGCAAUAGAAGAGGUGGAG
rnacentral:lncRNA from 1 species